AUUGAACGCUGGCGGCAUGCUUUACACAUGCAAGUCGAACGGUAACAGGCCGCAAGGUGCUGACGAGUGGCGAACGGGUGAGUAAUGCAUCGGAACGUGCCCAGUCGUGGGGGAUAACGCCGCGAAAGCUGCGCUAAUACCGCAUACGAUCUGUGGAUGAAAGCGGGGGACCGAAAGGCCUCGCGCGAUUGGAGCGGCAGAUGUCAGAUUAGGUAGUUGGUGGGGUCAAGGCCCACCAAGCCAACGAUCUGUAGCUGGUCUGAGAGGAAGACCAGCCACACUGGAACUGAGACACGUCCCAGACUCCUACGGGAGGCAGCAGUGGGGAAUGUUGGACAAUGGGGGCAAGCCUGAUCCAGCAAUGCCGCGUGCAGGAAGAAGGCCUUCGGGUUGUAAACUGCUUUUGUACGGAACGAAACGGUCCGGGUUAAUACCCUGGGCUAAUGACGGUACCGUAAGAAUAAGCACCGGCUAACUACGUGCCAGCAGCCGCGGUAAAAC
rnacentral:rRNA from 1 species